CAGACGAUGCGUCAUGCAUAUCAAUAAGCGGAGGAAAAGAAACUAACAAGGAUUCCCUCAGUAACGGCGAGUGAAGCGGGAAGAGCUCAAAUUUGAAAUCUUCAAGGUUUUACCUUGACGAAUUGUAGUUUAAAGAAGUGUUUUCUGUUACGAUCGUAAUAUAAGUUCUUUGGAAUAGGACAUCACAGAGGGUGAGAAUCCCGUCUAUGAUUGCGAUUUGUAGCUUUGUGAUACACUUUCAAAGAGUCGGAUUGUUUGGGAAUGCAGUCCAAAAUGGGUGGUAAAUUUCUUCUAAGGCUAAAUAUUGACGAGAGACCGAUAGCGAACAAGUACCGUGAGGGAAAGAUGAAAAGAACUUUGAAAAGAGAGUUAAACAGUACGUGAAAUUGUCAAAAGGGAAGCGUUUGACACCAGUGUUGUUUUUCUGAAAAUCAAUUAAAGAACUGUUUAUGCUAAGUUGUUUAGACUUUAUCAGCUAACUGUUUAGUUUUGAGCUUUUCUUUAAUGCACUUUUCAGUUAACAAGUCAACAUCAAUUUCUUUUGCUGUAAAAAAGCUUGAGGAAGGUGGCUUGAGAUUCGUCUUAAGUGUUUAUAGCCUCUUGCCUAUGCAGUCGGAGAGAUUGAGGUCUGCAGCGUAGAUCCUUCGGGGCUAAAUGCAUUUGUGCUAAGUUAUAGCAUUUUAUAGACAACUUGUUGACUAUGAUUUGUCUUGUAGCUUACUCGCUUAUGUUAUUUUACCUACGCUUAGGAUGUUGACUGAUAUGUAGUCGUA
rnacentral:rRNA from 1 species